GGAUAUUGGACAAUGGGCGCAAGCCUGAUCCAGCAAUGCCGCGUGAGUGACGAAGGAUUUCGGUCUGUAAAGCUCUUUUCUGGGGGAAGAAAUGUCGGAAGAGGAAAUGCUUCCGAUUUGACGGUACCCCAGGAAUAAGGGACGGCUAACUCCGUGCCAGCAGCCGCGGUAAUACGGAGGUCCCAAGCGUUGUUCGGAAUUACUGGGCGUAAAGGGAGCGCAGGCGGAUAGUUAAGUCUAAAGUGGAAUC
rnacentral:rRNA from 1 species